rnacentral:rRNA from 1 species
UACGAGAGGCCCAAACAUUAUUCGGAUUUACUGGGCUUAAAGAGUUCGUAGGCGGCUUGGAAAGUGGGGUGUGAAAGCCCUCGGCUUAACCGAGGAAUUGCGCUCCAAACUACCGAGCUUGAGUAGGCUAGAGGUGAGCAGAACUGAUGGUGGAGCGGUGAAAUGCGUUGAUAUCAUCAGGAAUACCGGAGGCGAAGGCGGCUCACUGGGACCUAACUGACGCUGAGGAACGAAAGCUAGGGGAGCAAACGGG